rnacentral:tRNA from 1 species
GGAGGCAAGGCUCAAGUGGUAGAGUGCCUGCCUGGCAAGCACAAGGCCUGGUGUUCAAAUCCCAGUACCUCUG